GGCCCAAGAUCAUGCAGCAACAUCUUGAUUAUUGUUUCCCUGGUUUAUGGCUAUCCAAGAUAACUCCUCGAUCCUACAAAGCCAAUGAAUAAGACAUGUGUUCUUAUAGUCCGUAUACAUUGUGAAGGUUGUAAGGAUAGGUCAGGAAGAAGGUGCAGAAGGUUCAAGGUAA